GGAGAAUUGGCCGAGUGGUUUAAGGUGCACGCUUGGAAAGCGUGUGUAGGGGAAACUCUACCGUGGGUUCGAAUCCCAUGUUCUCCGCCA
rnacentral:tRNA from 5 species